CACGCCCUAAACGAUGCGAACUGGAUGUUGGGAGCAACUAGGCUCUCAGUAUCGAAGCUAACGCGUUAAGUUCGCCGCCUGGGGAGUACGGUCGCAAGACUGAAACUCAAAGGAAUUGACGGGGGCCCGCACAAGCGGUGGAGUAUGUGGUUUAAUUCGAUGCAACGCGAAGAACCUUACCUGGUCUUGACAUCCACGGAACUUUCCAGAGAUGGAUUGGUGCCUUCGGGAACCGUGAGACAGGUGC
rnacentral:rRNA from 1 species